rnacentral:rRNA from 1 species
GGGUUGUGAGGUUAAGCGACUAAGCGUACACGGUGGAUGCCCUGGCAGUCAGAGGCGAUGAAGGACGUGCUAAUCUGCGAAAAGCGUCGGUAAGGUGAUAUGAACCGUUAUAACCGGCGAUGUCCGAAUGGGGAAACCCAGUGCAAUUCGUUGCACUAUCGUUAACUGAAUACAUAGGUUAACGAGGCGAACCGGGGGAACUGAAACAUCUAAGUACCCCGAGGAAAAGAAAUCAACCGAGAUUCCCCCAGUAGCGGCGAGCGAACGGGGAGCAGCCCAGAGUCUGAAUCAGCUUGUGUGUUAGUGGA